AAGGGCUGCAGGUGGAGCAGAAUCCCUCAGCCUUGAGUCUCCAGGAAGGAGCCAGUUCCACACUGUGGUGCAACUUUUCCACCUCUGUGAUCAAUGUGCAAUGGUUUCGCCAAAAUUCUGAGGGCCACCUCAUCAACCUGUUUUACAUUCCUUCAGGGACAAAGUGGAAUGGAAACUUAAAUGCUACGAAAAAGGAACGCCACAGUACAUUGUUUAUUUCCUUUUCCAAGACCACAGACUCAGCCACUUAUUUCUGUGCUGUGGAGCCACAGCGCUUCCCAGGCACCUGCAGCCCGUACACAAAUUCUCAGCUGAGCUCAGCUCCUCCCCCAACCACAAUCACAUCACAAGAUCACCACACAGCAUUUGCACUGCUCAAUAUUCCAAACACACUUUGGCAGGGUUUUAACUGCAGCCACUAUCUUCCUGCCUUAGGUGUGGAAUGGACCCCUACCAAGCACAGUCACCAAGAUGGCCGGGGAACCAGAAAGGC